rnacentral:lncRNA from 1 species
AAUAAAUAAAAUAGAAUAAAAUAAAAUAAAUGAAGGCAAACAGUGGGGGUGACUAGAGCUACUGACGGUCGGUGCUGCGACGGAUAGGGUUGUGCAGAGGUCGACGGGCGCGACGGUUCAACGAGAAAGAGGGAGAUUGGGGAGAGGGACGGAUGGUGGGGUAGUUUGCGGUUGAGGGGGGAAGGGAAGGAAAAUAGGGAAGGGACGUGGGGUGGCACGAGUAUGAGAGGGAGGAGUGAGAGUAGAAAGAUGCGGGGGAAGUGGGUGUGCGUGGCUGUUCGACAAUGGAGGGGGUAGGGAUGGACGGUGUGAUGAGGGUGAAGGAGAGGAAGGAAUGUUCGGCAAGGGGGCUUGGUUGCAAUGAGAGAGGGAACAACACCGGUGGCCAAAAAAGGGAGGAACGAAGGUUGGUCUUGCGAAGAAUAGAGCGCGCCGGGAUGGCCAGAGUUGUGAGGGGGUUGGUCGGCGGCGGCUAGGGUUAAGGGGUGGGGAGUUUGAAGAAG